UACGUAGGGGGCUAGCGUUGUUCGGAUUUAUUGGGCGUAAAGGGCAUGUAGGCGGUUUUGUAAGUGUGGGUUAAAAUCUCCGAGCUUAACCCGGGACCUGGCCUGCAAACUGCGUAACUAGAGUUCAGGAUGGGAAGGUGGAAUUCCGCGUGUAGGGGUGAAAUCUGUAGAUAUGCGGAAGAAUACCGGAGGCGAAGGCGAGUUUCUGGCCUGAAACUGACGCUGAGAUGCGAAAGUGUGGGGAGCAAACAGG
rnacentral:rRNA from 1 species